GAAAUUUUAAUUUUAUUUAGUUUUAACUCCUUUUUUUUCGAAAUUAAGGGCCCUCUGUAAAGAUUACUCCUUUUAUGUUCCACAGAAUAAAUAACAGCAUACGGGUUUGGAACGACAUGUCAUUUUUGGAUGGACUUUCCCUUUAAGCAAUAUACACCAACCCAUAGUGUGCCAAAUGUAGUGAAUGAUGCAGAGAACGACCUCUUCUGCCUGAGAAUUGGAUGCUAUUGCCACCAAAGACAUUGAAGAGAAGCAACACAGGUAAGUACGCUCAUCUCUCUAUACUCAUUUUCUUUAUUUAAAUUUUUUUUUUAAGUUGUGUAGAUGAGCGCUUGCUUUUUCCGAAGCUUGCAUCCUUCUGGGCUUUUCCUAUUCAUGCCUGCACUGGGCAGCACUAACAAAGCCGGCUCAAAGCAGCUGCUGCUGGUGUAAGCAAAUGCAGUUCCGUUUGAAUUAAAGGGGAUCCCAGUGCUGAGUAAGCUUUGCUGUUUUAAAAUGUUAAACAAAAACGGUGUUUGUGUAGCUCUUUGUGACGCUACUGUAUUGCAGUCAUGAGUCACAAACCCUUGCCUCCACUGUUUAUCGCUGCCGGAGUUUGUUGUCAUUUUAAAAUGCAUCAGAUAAAAACUUCUGAUUAAGACGUUGAGAAUACUUUCAGUUUGAUUUGUUUUUGUCGUU
rnacentral:lncRNA from 12 species